rnacentral:rRNA from 1 species
UAGGAUUUGCUCUUUGAUCAAGAACGAAAGUUGGGGGAUCGAAGACGAUCAGAUACCGUCGUAGUCUCAACUAUAAACUAUACCAGCUAGGGAUUGGUGGGCGUUGCUUGACCUCAUCAGAACCUUAUGAGAAAUCAAAGCAUUUGGGUUCCGGGGGGAGUAUGGUCGCAAGGCUGAAACUUAAAGGAAUUGACGGAAGGGCACCACAAGUUGUGGAUCCUGUGGCUUAAUUUGACUCAACACGGGGAAACUUACCAGGUCCAGACAUAGCAAGGAUUGACGGAUUGAUAGCUCUUUCUUGAUUCUAUGGGUGGUGGUGCAU